CCUACGGGGGGCUGCAGUGGGGAAUAUUGGACAAUGGGGGCAACCCUGAUCCAGUCAUGCUGCGUGUGUGAAGAAGGCCCUCGGGUUGUAAAGCACUUUCAGUGAGGAAGAACGCCUGGUGGUUAAUACCCAUCAGGAAAGACAUCACUCACAGAAGAAGCACCGGCUAACUCCGUGCCAGCAGCCGCGGUAAUACGGAGGGUGCGAGCGUUAAUCGGAAUUACUGGGCGUAAAGCGCGCGUAGGUGGCUUGAUAAGCCGGUUGUGAAAGCCCCGGGCUCAACCUGGGAACGGCAUCCGGAACUGUCAAGCUAGAGUGCAGGAGAGGAAGGUAGAAUUCCCGGUGUAGCGGUGAAAUGCGUAGAGAUCGGGAGGAAUACCAGUGGCGAAGGCGGCCUUCUGGACUGACACUGACACUGAGGUGCGAAAGCGUGGGUAGCAAACAGGAUUAGAUACCCGGGUAGUC
rnacentral:rRNA from 1 species